CAUAUCCUUCAGAUACCCUUACAAUAUACCUUGACCAUAUUUGGAUAAUGCCAAAAUGCAAUCAGUCCAUCAAGUGGUAACAAGGACAAGUCUGACAAAUUGUAGAGUUAACCACUUACUUUUGAGAUUGCACAAACAAGAAUUUCCUUCAGAUGGACUGAGCAAUAUUUUUUAAAAAGUCAGAGAUCCUACUCGACCUCUCUGCUGCUUUUGACAUUGUGAAUCAUCAGAUCCUCCUGUCCUCUCUCCAGCGGAACAGCUCAGCAGCGGGUGGAAUCAUAUCUCACAGGCAGAUCUUUCAAGGUUUUGUGGAAGGGAGGAGCUUCUGAAACUCAGCAGCUCACAAUUGAGGUUCCUCAGGGGCUGAUGAUUCAUCUGUCUCUGCACGAAUCUCUGCUUGCCUGUCUGACAUCUCAAACCAGGACAGCCAGGAACCUUGGGGUGACUUUUGAUGAUAGCUUGACCUUCACAGACCGCAUUUUAACAACUACAAUUCUGAUCACGGGGAACCUAGAGUUUAUCCCAGGGAGCAUCGGGCACUAGGCGGGGUACACCCUGGACAGGGUGCCAGUCCAUCGCAGGGCACAAUCACAUACACACUCACACACCCAUUCAUACACUACAGACACUUUGGACACGCCAAUCAGCCUACCAUGCAUGUCUUUGGACUGGGGAGGAAACCGGAGUACCCAGAGGAAACCCCCCCCAGCAGGGGGAGAACAUGCAAACUACACACACACAGGGCCACGGCGGGACUCGAACCCUGGACCCUUGCAAAUAAAAAGGAACAAAGAAGGAACUAAACAUAAUAACUUAUUCAUUAUAGGUUGAUACAGUCAACGCUUUUGGUUCUGAAAGAGCUAAUGCCGGAGCACUCAGCAUGCUUAGGCUCCCCGUAGGGCGACAGUGCGUGCUUACAGGUUGAUGGGACUUUUUUUUACUUGUACGUGUGUGUUUUUUUUGUUUUGUUCAUGCACUCUCUCCAUGUAUUGUUAUUGGUUGUUUCCCUCAUGUGUCUUAAUCAUUUACACCUGUUCUCAUUUUCUCCUUGAUUAACCACACACACACACACACACACACACACACACACACACACACACACACA